rnacentral:pre_miRNA from 1 species
UUAACUCAAAUUAGUAUCGAAUUGGAACGUUUGCCUACGUUUGCCGCUAGGGGCGCUGUUCCAACUCCAUACAAAUUUGAGUUA